GACGAACGCUGGCGGCGUGCUUAACACAUGCAAGUCGAACGAUGAAGCCGGAGCUUGCUCCGGUGGAUUAGUGGCGAACGGGUGAGUAACACGUGAGCAAUCUGCCCUUGACUCUGGGAUAACUGCGGGAAACUGUAGCUAAUACCGGAUACGACACCUUGGGGCAUCCCAGGGUGUGGAAAGAAUUUCGGUCAAGGAUGAGCUCGCGGCCUAUCAGCUAGUUGGGGAGGUAAUGGCUCACCAAGGCGACGACGGGUAGCCGGCCUGGGAGGGUGACCGGCCACACUGGAACUGAGACACGGUCCAGACUCCUACGGGAGGCAGCAGUGGGGAAUAUUGCACAAUGGGCGAAAGCCUGAUGCAGCAACGCCGCGUGAGGGAUGAAGGCCUUCGGGUUGUAAACCUCUUUUAGCAGGGAAGAAGCGAAAGUGACGGUACCUGCAGAAAAAGCACCGGCUAACUACGUGCCAGCCGCCGCCGUAA
rnacentral:rRNA from 1 species